UGGUGGUGGUGUUUAAUCUGACUUUGCAACUCAUCCCUUAACUACUGGGACUGUGGUUUCUCACUGUGGAGUACCUCAUCAUAGUGCUCCUCACAGCAACCCCUGAGGUUGACAGAGAGGAUAUUAUUAGCCCCAUCUAAAUAAUGAGGAAAGCAAGGCUUACUAUAAUUUAGUGACUUCUCAAAGUUAGGCAGGCAGGGGAGAAUCCUCCCUCAUUCCUCAUCGCAUUCUGAUUCUGGCCGUGCCCCAGACAUGUUCUCACCUGCCCCCACAGUUCUACCCCUCUAGCAGUAAAAAGAAUGAAACAGGAAGUCUUCAAUACAUUAUGUUGUCCCUGGACUAAUGGGCUAGGCGUUGCAUCUCAUUAUGACUUGGUCUUUGUAGGUUUCCUCCAGUGAGUUGAGAAUGGAGACAGACUUAGUAGAAUGAUUAUAUUUCAGGUCAGAGACCAGCUCCUCUCAAGAGAGUUCUUUCCACAGAUGGAAAAGAUAUGUUAAAAUUGCCAAAUAAAUUAGGAAAUACUUGGCAGAAUCUGGAAGAACCUCCAGACUGGCGUUACAUAACAUGCAUAUACAUUAUACAUAUGGACAUUAUAUAAGGUGACAUAGUACUUAAUGUGCUGUAUAUAUUAUGUAAAUUACAUAUUUGUGAGUAAUCAUGAUAAAUAUAGAGACCCACUAAUCACUUUUUUACACAUACCCAGUGACAGAUUAGGAAGUUACUUUGCCAGAGAGUCUUAAAACUUACUCUCUCCUGCUGCUUUGGUUCCAACUCCUGCCAAAAAUAAUUGCAUCAACUUUUCCCAUCUCUAGCCCCCUCUCCUCUUAGCCAAAACCCUCAGUCCUAGCUAGGCUGUACCUUCCGUGGAACACUACCAUGAUUGAGAUCCAUAAAAACAGAUUCUGGGGAUGGGGAGGAUCUAGACUCCCAGAUUCCCUGUGUCACCGACCUACACCCCAAGGCUCCCAGGCAGACGGAUGUCUAAUGCUGAUAUUAAAGGGAGAGAGAAGGGGAGAGAGGAAGUCUACCAACCCUCCAAGGAAGGAAACUUCAGUGUUCCUUGGCCACCAGUCCCAGGAUCUGACCAUAAUCAAUCAGGAAGUUAUUUCAGUCUAGUUUAAGUUUCUGCAGCAUAUCUGAAACCAUAAUUUCCUAAAAUGUGUUUCACACAAUACCAGUAUCCAUAAAAUGCUCCAUGAACAAAAGAGUUCUGUGGUCAAGUACUAGAUCCCCUUCUAGAAGAAAUGGUGGGCUUUGAUUUGUCUGUUGACGUCCAUAGAUUAGAAACAUUGCCUUAAGCCCACCGUUUCUUCUUUUUGUUCUCCGUGGAGAUGGGAACAUGGAAGUAACCAUCCUCUGCAAUAAUAUUCCAUAAAGUACUUUUCUAGGACAAGGAACUUCUCUUCUUAAGACACUCUUUCUAGUUUCUUCUGUGAUUGUUUAACUACUUUUAUGGUUCCCCCCUAUGUGUCUUCAAGCAAGAAUCAAGGAUCUGGCCUCUUUGCUUCCUGAGUGGAGAAGGGUUUGGGGAAAAAUUAAGGGGAAAACAGGAUAGCUGCCAGGGGCCAGAUUUCAUCUGUGCAGCUCUAGAGGACAGAACCAGGUCUAAAGAACACAGUUGUGGAAAGGAUCGGUGUUUAUUCAGUUUAAUAACCACUCUUGGAGCUAGCUGGCCGAAUAUGGACAGAGCUCACUUGUGAGGGAGUGAACAGCCACCUGCUCUUAUAGGAAGAGCCUUGACGUAGUUGAGGAGGAACAAGCGGUGAUUGAUCUACCUUGUUUAAACGCUGUUGAAACUAUUUUAGUAGGCAUCAGUGUUAAACCAAUAGGUCUAGUACUUCCUUUUGAGCAGCAAACCUCAGUGUCCAUUGUUUUCUGGAAGAGUGAAAGAUGACUCCCAGAGAGAUUUCUGGAUCAGAAAAUAAUAUUCAUAAAGUCGUUUUCUAAAGUACUUUGCUCCUUGUUCUAGAAAAGUACUUUCUGGUCUAACUGGUACUGACCAGUUAGACCACACUUGUACAUGGCGGGAUUGACCAGAAUCAUUGGCGCCCUCAAGGGCAGCUAGUGGUGGUGGUGACCUUUCCUUGGCAGCCCUGAAAGUUAAAGGAAUGAGUUACAGUGUUAAGCCCAAAAGAGAUUUUGCAUUUCUGUUGGUGUUCAUAUUAGCAGUUUGGAACUGUUCUCCUAGUCACGAGUACCAGACCUGCAUCCGACUUGCAAUAAAUAGCAAGGAAAAAGAAACUAUCCUACAUCUCAAAUACCCGUCAAGUUUUGCAUAAAACAGGUGAACAGAAUUGUGUAGGAUUUCACAUGGGGCCGUCAUUUUUAGCUCACCUUAACGUUCCACCAUACUCAAGUACAUAUUUUAAAUUUCUACUAUAGAAAGAAAAUAGGAAAGGGAAUUCUCAUUUAUGGCUUGCUGAGUACAGGGCACUGUGUCAAGGCCUUUUCAUGUGCUAUCCCAUUUAAUCCUCAUGAUCUGGGCAUUUUGCUUAUUUCACAGAAAAAGGAGUUAGUGUAUAGAAAGGUGAAGUACCUUGUCCAAGGUCAAACAGAUAGCAACUAGUAGAGCAAAGACUUGACAUGGGUCUGUCUUACAUCAACAUUUAUGCUUUUUCUACUAUAUUCUAAUGCCUUUAACCUUCUUAUCUCACUAUUUCCAACCCUACCAUCAUCCUGGGUGAGAUUACACAGCAGUGAAAAAUUGAUGUCCUACCUGGUCAACCUCUGUAUUGGGGAUGGGACUAACAAGCUCAGAAUGACAACAGGUACUACUCAUGUUCCUACUGAAGAACUUCCAGUGCUUGCUCAUAUGGAAACUCAACAGCCUCCAUGGGCAGCUAGAACCCAAAACUUCACCCUUGCAAUCAAACUGGCAGCCAUCCCUUAAUCCUCAAUGUUUCAAAUUCUAGCUGAAUGAGAAUCGUUUCCCAAGGCCCGCCUAAUAGAUUUUUCUAUUCAACUCUGUGAGUGGGAGAGCAGCAAGCAGGCUUCUCAGACCUAAAUGCCAUGGUCAGCAGUGACUGGCCUGCACGGGGAAGGAGAGCUAGGGUUGUGGAAGGGAGCCUCCAGCAAGAAGGCUCUGCAUGUGAUCCUCAUUAGUGAUAGACGUGGGCUGGGCCAUCUGUGUUCCACGGGAGAACAGAAUGGCAGGCUGCCUUUCAGAUGCCAAGAGAUGCUAUCUAAUGGCAAGAUCCAGAGAGCUCAAAAAGCAGAGAGGCAUCCUUCCUCCUGAGCAUCUCUGUGGGAAACCAGGGACACAGAAAACCAUGGGGUUUUUGGAAACUAGCUGCUUCACUUGCAGGGCAUUUCACCCUUGCUACCACUUCAUUCUUCACGUUCAUGGUGGAAGCCAACCAGCAGAGCCCUGCAGCCUUACCUGCUAACUAAACUCCCUGAGAUGGAUCCCAAGCUGAACCUAUGUCAUCUUGGAAUCUGUAGACGCAAUGGCAGGUGCAUUAUAGCAAGGCACCAGGGUUUGCAAUUAAGCCUCCGAGUCUCCCAGGGGUCAGGAAACACUACAGGUAGAGGAGACCAUUUAAUUGGAUGCUCAAUGAAGAUUCUAGAGGAAUAAUCAAAAAACUUGGGUCUAAAUGGGUCAAAUUAGAAAAUGCAAUUUGGAAGCAAAGAGGAUAACAUCUAACCCAGUAUCAAGCAUGUAGCAGGUAAUGAGUAAAUACUUGUUGAAUGAAUGAAUAGCUAAAAUGGGUAUCUGUCCUUCUACCCUGGAAUGGGUAGGGGAAAGCGGGUAGAAGGGAUUAAAGCUUUUUAACUAACAACUCAGAAACUUGAAACCACAGGAUGUAGAGGGAGCUCAUGAGGGCCUUUAACUACUCAGACAUCUGUUGAGUGAUGGAUACAGCUAAAUAUGGAUCAUCAAAGGGCUUUCUAGGUCACAUGGAGGGCAGCUUCAUGAUUCAGAAAAUAUGAAAUUCAGCUUGGACAAAAAGACAGAAAUAUUUGCAGUCUACUUCUGAGAGGUCAGGUCAGAACUGACAAAACAAAAAAAGACAGCACAGAAGUGGAAUUACAACACAGUAAGAGAUCCGCAUAAUAAGAUACAGACUCAAAAGAUGAAAAGAGAUCGAGAACUGGGUUUUCUAGCAGGUUUAUUUGGGCAAGGGAGAUGAGCCUGAACACUCAGUCCAAAAACGGAAGAAAGGACUGAGAAAUCCUUUUUUCUUAAAAACGCUUAACGUUGAGUUCAUGGUAAAAUGGAAAUGUCCAGGCAUUGAUGAAAUGGUUAUUAAAUAACAGCUAUCAUUUAUUGUCCAGUCCAAAGCCUAUUGCUUUUAUGACCACUUUUAAACUUCACCAGAACCUUAUGAAGUCGGAGUUAUACGGUUCCCCAUUGGACAAGUGAGGAAACGGAGCAAAUCUCAUGGGGCAGAUCUGGGAUUCAGAUCUGUCAGGAUCUGCCUUUCAGAGCCCACGUUCGUGCCAGCAGUACCCUGGCUGAGGCCACUGAGCUUCAAGCACAGUGACAGGGAUUUACUACACCCACCCACCCCCACCCCACCCCUGUGCAUGAUUACUUCCUUCUCAAAACGAAAUCCAAGUCCCUCCCCUCCCCCUUCCACAGAGCUGGAGUGGGAAACGGCAUUAGCUUGGGCGCAGUGGCACAGUGGCCAGAGCAGGUCUGGACGACAGCAGGUCCAUAUACGCCUUGCCCACCUCCCUUCUUAGGCCCUCUCUCCCAGGCACAGUGGGGCCGCCUCCUAAGACACCGAUCAGAGAACAGAGCACCAACGUGAACACCUUGGUGUCCAGCCAGAUCAGAGUAUUCACAGAAUAUUAAAGAUCGUAUUAAAGGACACACAGAGACCACAUCAAAGGUCCAGUGAAGUGAGGCCGGGCAGUCAAACGUCAGAAUUUAGUACCUCAUAUCUAAAGGUGGGAUGGAGACUUGAAGUGUCCUUUUAAAAAUGUGUUGAGUGAAUCAUAAUUUGGAGUAAAAAGACUGCUUCUAGAAUAAUGCAAAAAAACUUUUUCCCUUCCAAAAAAAAAUUAUUUUUAAAAUGGAAUCUUCGCAAGAAUUACAAGUGAGGGGCAAUAAAAAUGGUAAUUUCUUUUUAUGUUAGAUAAUACCAAAAAAAAGAAUUUAUAAAUGUCACAAUAUAAGUGGAAAUCCAGAGAAAGAUUCCAGAAAGUCUACUGUGGAGGGACUAAACAACAGUACUUUCAAAGUAAUUAAUGAACUUUAUUUUUCUUGUCCUUUUCUUUAAAAAAAAACAAAAAACAAAAACAAAAACUGGUACCAAAUGGUUACCAGAAAAUGGCAUGAUCUUCAGGAAAAGAUAUAUUUUCCUGGUGGAUAUUUCGUCUCUCCCCAACAUCCUUGAGGUGAAAAGAUUGAGAACUUUUGGUUUGUUGGUUGGCUUUUAACUUAGAGAACCAUCCGUGCAUGGAAGGUGUUAAUGAUAGAGGAUGUCACUGAAUUGCUGUGUGGGGUUUGCUGUCAUCACACUGUGCUACCACCAGGCAUUAAGGUAAUGAUCAUAAACUUACGAGGACUGAGCAAUUCCCACUCCCAUCCACCCCAUCAGCCUUCUGGAGCUCCCACCCCCAGUUACAUAUACUUCCUGGAAUUAGACCAUCUGGGAAUAAUUUCUAUUAUGACAGUUUUCAAACAUACAGAAAAGUAGAGCCAUAAGUAUAAUGAGAACCCAUAGACCCAUCACUUAAAUUCAACAGUUGUUAUCGUUUUGCCAUAUUUGCUUCAUCUUUUUUUCUACUGGAAUACUUUAAAUUAUAGAUGUCAUGACACCUCACACCAAAAUAUUACAUAUACAUCAUUACGGGGGAUCCCUUCUUAAGUGUUAAACGUUGUGUGUAUCAUCCAUGUUGCUGAAGGAAGAUUUCAGGGUGUUGUGCAUCUGAGCUCAGUCAUUUCUCAGCUGACUGAAUGCACUUGUCACAAGUAGAUGUUAACCAGGACAUUGCUGUGUCACUGAUAGGAGAAAGUUUUGGGUGGAACCCAAGGAAGAUCUUAGCUGUAUUCAAAACAUUCCUGAUUGAUCUGGAAAGAGGAAGGUAAACAGCACGUUAACUACAUUCUCAAAAGACACUAAAUCGGGGAGUGUUAUAAGCACUGAUGAUGCCAGAGAGAAAACUCAGAGCACUUGGAGGAGUUAGAAAUGUACCUGAAGGAUGCGUGUUCUUAUUUUUGAAAUAAAUAUUGUUUAAAACAGUAGGAGUGGGCUUCCCUGGGGGCGCAGUGGUUGAGAGUCCGCCUGCCGAUGCAGGGGACGCGGGUUCGUGCCCCGGUCCGGGAAGAUCCCACAUGCCGCGGAGCGGCUGGGCCCGUGAGCCAUGGCCGCUGAGCCUGCGCGUCCGGAGCCUGUGCUCCGCAACGGGAGAGGUCACAACAGUGAGAGGCCCGCGUACCGCAAAAAAAAACAAAAACAAAACCAAAAAAAAACAGUAGGAGUUACAGGAAGACUAGGCACAGUACUAGUUGGAACAAAUAAAACAGUAACAUCAUAUCUGCAGGUUCGUUUAAAAACCGGUUCUGAUUAUUGCCCCCACCACGUGAGGACAAGGAAGCUAGACUGGGGGAGGGGACAGCUGCUGAGGUGUACAGACAGGCCCUCCCCCUCCGCUGGGGCAACUGAACUGGAGCUGUGUCAAGCCCCGAGAGACCAUCUGUGAGGCCCCCUUCGCAGGGCGAGCUAUCAUUUUCAAUGGGCAAAGUGUAAGGGGAGCAGGUAGUGUUCCACGUGCUCUGUGCUCGGCUUCUGGGGUCAGGGCAGGCUGACUGCAGACGUUCUGGACAAGAUAGUGGGCAAGGUGGUUGGUUGGCUUGCUAUCAAAAGUGACUCUGCCCAACCAAAGGGAAGACGGUAAAAUGAAUGACAGCAGGUUUCAGAAUGUUCAGCCCAUCUCAGUCAAUGAAUGAAAUGAGUUAUUAUUUAAGAACAGCCUAGGUGGCAGCAACAACUGGGAAGCAAGGCCUGGUAUUCACCCAAGGCCUGAUUCCCAGCCUGUGGCCGGUGGACCUAACUGAGCACCCAUCCGACUUCCUAAACGUCAGGAAGAAAUGCUCUCUCAUCUCUACCCCCAGUGCACUGCUGCAGACCUCUGACUCAUUAAACACCCCAGCCCACCACGCCAUCUCCCAACACCACGGGGCUCGUAAGACCAAGUACCACCUUCUCCUUUCCUGACAAUGCUGCCAUGAGGAGUGAGAGUCGGUGUUGACUAAGACGGGAAUGAAGAUUGUUUUCAUCCUCCUGCCAGUGGGAACAUGUUUUCUUCCCAGAGCACCCACACUUUGGAAGAACAUAGUCUCUUCUGAGCUCCUUCCUCCAGCCUAACCCCCGGCACCCUGAAGCCCAGGACCCACUGAUGGGCGUGAAAACACAUGAGCUCCCUGGGGCUUGGAGAAGAGCUCUUGACAGGCCUUUCCGGAGACGACAGCGGGCCGGGUCUGCACACCCCUGCUGCCUCCUCUGGGUAACAUGACUUGCCUUUUCUCUGUCUGCUCGGAGCCAGAGGCCUGUCUGUACUGCUGUUCGUGAGUCAUUUGGUAGCAGGGAAGAGGAAGCACAGGGUCCUCUCCUGUAUCCCAGUGCUCAAAAUGGACACGGUCUCCUGAGGGGGAGUAACAGAGACAAAGUUCACUUGCAUAUGUUGAGUCCUUUUCCCGGUGGUGCUGCCCUUUCCUCAGCUCUUUUCCGUGAUAAGCCCAUCCUGCUUGUGAUCUCAACAGAGGAGCAAAGAGAGAAAUAAAAUGGGAUCGGAGGACAGAAGGCUUUUUUUUUUUUUUUAACAUUAUUGGAGUAUAACUGCUUUAAACUGUAUAACAGUUUCUGCUGUAUAACAAAGUGAAUCAGUUAUACAUAUAUCCCCAUAUCUCUUCCCUCUUGCGUCUCCCUCCGUCCCACCCUCCCUGUCCCACCCCUCUAGGUGGGCACAAAGCACCGAGCUGAUCUCCCUGGACAGAAGCCUUCUUGAGGACUCGAAGGACACCAGCUCAAGUGUUCCUUCUGAGAUGUUUGUGAGCAGGGUCUGGGGCAGAGGGAGAGAAAAUAGAUGGGAAUUCCUGUCUUCCCCCAAAGGGAUGAAAAGAAGGGGAUUUAUGGAAAUCUGUCAGAUGUCCCCAGAGGCAGGCCGUCUGCGGGAAAUUGCUCGUGCCUCCACGUGACUUGGGAAGAACUCCCAUCCUUGUCCAGCCUCCAUCUUCUUGAGGGAGGAGAGAAACUUUUGGGAACUGCACUCUGGAGACUCAGAGACACGAGAGGAGACAGAGAAAGCAAGGGAGGGCCAGGAGCCCAACCUCCAAAUCCAGUGGAUGUUUCACAUGGCUCCCACGAGGAGGAGUGAAGAUUUUAGAUGGCAAGAGGCAGGAGAUCCAACUAAAGAGAAGAGGAUCCGACAGCAGGUUGCUGACCCAGCGUACAGCACAGCUGCCCUCUCCUGUAGAAUGGGAAGAAGUCACCUUGUGUGCCUCUUUGUACCGUCAUCCUCAAUGCUCG